rnacentral:tRNA from 1 species
GGGGAGAUUCCCGAGCGGUCAAAGGGGACGGACUGUAAAUCCGUUGGCUAAGCCUUCGUAGGUUCAAAUCCUACUCUCCCCA